AAUUCUCAACCUACAAGCCUUUGCGGGUUUGUACGUGUUGGACUUGGAGGAUUAUAAUUGUCGGCGCAAGUCGGCUCCUCUUAAAUGCAUUAGCUUGAUUCCUUGCGGAUCGGCUCUCGGUGUGAUAAUUGUCUACGCCGUGACCGUUGAAGCGUUUUGGCGAGCUUAUAAUCGUCUCUGUUAACGAGACAGCUUACUUUGAC
rnacentral:misc_RNA from 1 species